rnacentral:ncRNA from 1 species
GGCACUUUUGAAAAAAUGUGCUGGCAGAUGUAAGUCCGACGUGCAUCACACAUGCACGGGUCCGAACGAUUUCGGGCCUCUGGGAUUAC